GAGUUCCCGUACGAUCACCGAAGUUAAGCAACGUCGACACUGGUCAGUACUUAGAUGGGCAACCGCUGGGGAAUACCAGGGGCUGUAAG